CCAACAGACAGAAGCAAAAGUAGGAUUUAGAAGAAAAAAAGGGAGAAAAAAAAUCCUGAGGGAAGAGACUAUGGUUUAACUAACUGUGAUGGAAGAAAUUCAAAUAUUUGUUGGAUAAACAAACAAACGAGUCACGUGUGCCUUGUAUCACAAAUUAUCUGAGACAAGCAGGAGGAAGGAUGGGCUGGCAUGAGGUGUCCAGAAGCCAGCGCAUCCAUUCGGAGAGCUGACAGGGAAACAUUUCUCCGUAUUUAGAAAUUUUAUACUCAAGACUCCCACUGGCACUUCCCAGUGAUUUUUAAAGACAGGUAAUAAACGUGUCAACAUUUAUUGAGUAUUUACCGUGUAGCCAGCACUGUUUUACAGGCACUACUCAAUGUGGUCCGCACAAUGACCCCACGAGAGAAUUAUUAACACUCAUUUUAAGGAUAAGGAAGGAACCAGAAGCACUGAGAGGUGAAGCCUUAGGUAACAAAGCCAGUAGGGGUGAGACCGGCAUGGUGAUUUCUUUAGGGGAGGGUAUAAGAGUCCUUUGCGAAGAGAAACAUUUCACUUUCAAAUGCCUCAGCACCUGCUGCAAUUCCAGGCUUUGGUUUGUACUUGUAUCUCAGUCACAGUUAUUUUAUAGUUAGGCAUAUGAAUUUAAAAUGAAAGGGAGAAAUACUAAAGAUUUGAAAUUUUAGUUAUGUGUCACCUCAAGGGAAAGUUAAUUAUCAUUUUUGUCGGCAACACCUACACACAAAUUGUGACUCCAGUAAUAAAAUGAGAGCUUAGAAAAAUAAGCACCCAGGGCUGAUGAAAAUAAUGCAUUUGUCUCAGGGCAGGGGCUGAAUGUGAAGCCAACUGUUCUUAGAGAGAAACAUGUCAAUACUAAAUCUUUUCACCAGCCUUUGAUGGAUGUGCUAAUCUUCUCAGGUCAACAUGGGCUCACCCUGGCAAUGUACUGUAAUAACUUAUUUAAAAGGCAGCUGGCUUUUAUAAAUGACCUGCUCCAUCAGCUUUUAGAUUUCAUUUUCAGAAAUGUAUUCCUUUAUCAAAUCAAUAUUUGCUGUAUAUAGUAAGAAAUCAACUGUGCGUUUUCUGCAACAGAGGUGACUGCAGCAGUGACCAGGUUUGGGAAUUAUUGUUCUUUUUUUUUUUUCUUUUGAGAUGGAGUCUCACUCUGUUGCCCAGGCUGGAGCUCGGCUCACUGCAAGCUCCGCCUCCUGGGUUCACGCCAUU
rnacentral:lncRNA from 1 species